rnacentral:tRNA from 1 species
CGGGGACUGGCUCAAUUGGCUAGAGCGCCCGCUUUGGGAGCGGGAGGUUCCGGGUUCAAGUCCCGGGUCCCCGACCA